rnacentral:rRNA from 1 species
CCCUUAGAUGUCCUGGGCUGCACGCGCGCUACACUGAUGUGUCCAGUAAGCACCUAACCUCUUCCGAAAGGAACGGGUAACCUUUGCAAAGCACAUCGUGAUGGGGAUAGAUUAUUGCAAUUAUUAGUCUUGAACGAGGAAUUCCUAGUAAGCACAAGUCAUCAGCUUGUGUUGAUUACGUCCCUGCCCUUUGUACACACCGCCCGUCGCUCCUACCGAUUGAAUGUUCCGGUGAGCUCUUCGGACUGCGCGGUCUGCAGUUUCUGCGUUCCGUGCGGAAAGUUGCGCAAACCUUAUCAUUUAGAGGAAGGAGAAGUCGUAACA